rnacentral:rRNA from 1 species
UCGGGAAUUUUGGGCAAUGGGCGAAAGCCUGACCCAGCAACGCCGCGUGAAGGAUGAAGUAUUUCGGUAUGUAAACUUCGUAAGAAUAGGAAGAAUAAAUGACGGUACUAUUUGUAAGGUCCGGCUAACUACGUGCCAGCAGCCGCGGUAAUACGUAGGGACCAAGCGUUGUUCGGAUUUACUGGGCGUAAAGGGCGCGUAGGCGGUGUGUCAAGUCAGUUGUGAAAUCUCCGAGCUUAACUCGGAACGGUCAACUGAUACUGUCACACUAGAGUACAGAAGGGGCAAUCGGAAUUCUUGGUGUAGCGGUGAAAUGCGUAGAUAUCAAGAGGAACACCUGAGGCGAAGGCGGGUUGCUGGGCUGAUACUGACGCUGAGGCGCGAAAGCUAGGGUAGCAAACGGGAUUAGAUACCCAUGUAGUCCCUGAGCGGGCUGG